rnacentral:rRNA from 1 species
AAAAUCCGCUGUAACAAUUCUGAGGCGUGAUGGGGAAGGCCAUAUAGGCCGAAGUACAUGAUUCCAUGCUUCCAAGAAAAGCAUCUAGAGAGAGAAGUAGUGCCCGUACCGCAAACCGACUCAGGUAGAUGAGGAGAGAAUCCUAAGGCCGGCGGAAGAAUUGCAGUUAAGGAACUAGGCAAAUUGACCCCGUAAGUUCGCGAGAAGGGGUGCCUGCGAGAGCAGGCCGCAGAGAAUAGGCCCAAGCAACUGUUUAGCAAAAACACAGGUCUCUGCUAAAGCGUAAGCUGAUGUAUAGGGGCUGACGCCUGCCCGGUGCUGGAAGGUUAAGGGGAACACUUAGCGCAAGCGAAGGUGUGAACUUAAGCCCCAGUAAACGGCGGCCGUAACUAUAACGGUCCUAAGGUAACGAAAUUCCUUGUCAGGUAAGUUCUGACCCGCACGAAUGGCGUAAUGACUUGGGCACUGUCUCAACUGCAAAUCCGGCGAAGUUGUAGUGCGAGUGAAGAUGCUCGCUACCCGCGAUUGGACGGAAAGACCCCGUAGAGCUUUACUGUAGCUUAGCAUUGAAUUCCGGUAUUGUCUGUACAGGAUAGGUGGGAGACUGGGAAACUAGGGCGUCAGCCUUAGUGGAGUCAACCUUGGGAUACCACCCUGACAGUACUGGGGUUCUAACAGGACGCCAUGAAUCUGGUGACUGGACAUUGUUAGGUGGGCAGUUUGACUGGGGCGGUCGCCUCCUAAAGAGUAACGGAGGCGCCCAAAGGUUCCCUCAGAACGGUCGGAAAUCGUUCGUAGAGUGCAAAGGCAGAAGGGAGCCUGACUGCGAGACAUACAAGUCGAGCAGGGACGAAAGUCGGGCUUAGUGAUCCGGUGGUACCUCGUGGGAGGGCCAUCGCUCAGCGGAUAAAAGCUACCUCGGGAAUAACAGGCUGAUCUCCCCCAAGAGUCCACAUCGACGGGGAGGUUUGGCACCUCGAUGUCGGCUCGUCGCAUCCUGGGGCUGUAGUAGGUCCCAAGGGUUGGGCUGUUCGCCCAUUAAAGCGGCACGCGAGCUGGGUUCAGAACGUCGUGAGACAGUUCGGUCCCUAUCCGUCGCGGGCGUAGGAAAUUUGAGAGGAGCUGUCCUUAGUACGAGAGGACCGGGAUGGACUGACCUCUGGUGCACCAGUUGUUUCGCCAGGAGCAUGGCUGGGUAGCUAAGUCGGGAAGGGAUAAACGCUGAAAGCAUCUAAGCGUGAAGCCUCCCUCAAGAUGAGAUUUCCCAUAGCAUAAGCUAGUAAGACCCCUUGAAGAACACAAGGUUGAUAGGUCAGAGGUGUAAGUGCGGUAACGCAUUUAGCUGACUGAUACUAAUAGGUCGAGGGCUAGACC